GGAAGGAUCAUUACUGAACUGUCGACACGAGUUGUUGCUGGCCUUCAAAUGGGGGCAUGUGCACGCUCUGUUUACACAUCCACUCACACCUGUGCACCCUCUGUAGUUCUAUGGCGUGGGGGGCCCUGCCCUCCUGCUGUGGUUCUAUGUCUUUACACACACACACUGUGAUGAAGUCUUAUGGAAUGUACAUCGCGUUUAACGCAAUACAAUACAACUUUCAGCAACGGAUCUCUUGGCUCUCGCAUCGAUGAAGAACGCAGCGAAAUGCGAUAAGUAGUGUGAAUUGCAGAAUUCAGUGAAUCAUCGAAUCUUUGAACGCACCUUGCGCCCUUUGGCUAUUCCGAAGGGCAUGCCUGUUUGAGUAUCAUGAACACCUCAACUCUCAUGGUUUUGCUGUGAUGAGCUUGGACUUUGGGGGUCUUGCUGGCCUACGGUCAGCUCCUCUUAAACGAAUCAGCUUGCCAGUGUUUGGUGGCAUCGCAGGUGUGAUAACUAUCUACGCUUGUGGUUUUCCGUCAAGUAACCUUCAGCAAUGGAGGUUCACUGGAGCUCAUAAAGGCCUCUCCUCAGUGAGGAAUGGCUCCUUUUGAACGUUUGAUCUCAAAUCAGGUAGGACUACCCGCUGAACUUAA
rnacentral:rRNA from 1 species